GCAGUCAUGGCCGAGUGGUUAAGGCGACGGACUAAAAAUCCAUUGGGGUCUCCCCGCACAGGUUUGAAUCCUGUCGACUGCG
rnacentral:tRNA from 1 species